CAAUAGCGUAUAUUAAAGUUGUUGCGGUUAAAAAGCUCGUAGUUGGAUUUCUGCUGAGGACGACCGGUCCGCCCUCUGGGUGAGUAUCUGGCUCGGCCUUGGCAUCUUCUUGGAGAACGUUGCUGCACUUGACUGUGUGGCGCGGUAUCCAGGACAUUUACUUUGAGGAAAUUAGAGUGUUUCAAGCAGGCAUACGCCUUGAAUACAUUAGCAUGGAAUAAUAAGAUAGGACCUCGGUUCUAUUUUGUUGGUUUCUAGAGCUGAGGUAAUGAUUAAUAGGGAUAUUUGGGGGCAUUCGUACUAACCGGUCAGAGGUGGAAUUCUUGGAUUCGGUUAUGACGAACGACUGCGAAAGCAUUUGUCAAGAAUGUUUUCAUUGA
rnacentral:rRNA from 1 species